rnacentral:lncRNA from 11 species
GCAAAGUCCAGGAGAUUACUGCCUUGGACCACAACCUCCAUCAACCCAAUGCCUUGUACCAUGUGUCAUGAUGCAGUCCAGCUGUCUGGGAAGGAUGAGAAGCUGUAUUCGAAUGAUGCUGGAGGGCACCAGGUUGGGGAAGGCUAGAAUAGAAGCAAAUACAGGAGAGGAGCCCUACUCAACUUGCUGCUAUCAAUGGGGAGCUGGGGCCAAAAAGGCUGUGCGUAUUGGAGAGCAGGAGAGUUUCCCUGUUCACUUCAUCUCUUAAAAUUUCAUUUCAGUAAUUGCAGGUUUCCCCUAAAGACAUUUGGUGUCACUAUAAGGACAGCAUUUUUCCUUUCCCUCUCCCGCACGCUCUCUCUCCCUCUCCUUCUGUCUGUUCAGUUAUACUGUUGCUUUCCCGAUGCAUCCUCUUUGUAAGCCUCUACUGAACAUACCAUAAGAACAGCGAGGCAGAAAGAGAGAGAACAGCACACAAAUCUCUUCUCCAAGAGCUUCCCGAGGAAAGUUCUCCCAUUGCAUCCUCCACCCCUCCCUCCCUGGUUCUUUGGCUCACCUGGGCUCUUCUCUAAGGAGGCUUGUUUCCUUCCUUGCUGUCUUUUUGCCCCUCUGUUUUCUCCAUCCUUAAGGAAACAAAACCAUCACAGCCCCCUGGAUCUGAACGGGAGAAAGAGUUGCGGCUUAGGCUCCUUAUCUGGAACAGGCACGAUUUUUAAACAUGUAUUUUUGCUUUAAACUAUCUCCAUGCUCUGUGCAUUCGAUGCUUACAGCUAUGGAUCUAACACAACUGCCUGCAUCUUGUCUGCAUGUUCUCCACUCCCCGGUACUCAGUUGAUCUUCAACGUUUUCUUUUGGGGACCACAGUGUGUAUGUUGGGGGUGUCUUUUUCUGACUGGGAAUUUUUCAGACCACUUUCUCUUUAAAAACUUCUCUGACCUGGACUUUACUCCUCCACCGGCAGCAUCCCUUGGAUAUUUCUCUUCCAUGCAAAGGGGUUUUCAUUCCAUGCCGACAUGGCAGAACAUGGUGGUACCCACUCACCGACUCCCUGGCAUUCGGGGAGCCCAGCCACUCACAACCCCACUCUGUGCCCCUUGGAACAUAUGGAUAUGGGAAUUAGUGAGCAGUCAUCUCCACUGGAACAACCACCACCGUCCCCUGACCUGGGAGAUGAUGAUGAUGAUGGCGACAUGGAACCUGUGCCAGACCCAGAUGUGCCCUACCCUGAUUUGGCUUCCGUAGUUUUCUUCUGCUUGAGACAAACUACCAGGCCUCGGAGCUGGUGCAUCAAGAUGGUGUGCAAUCCAUAUCCUUUCAAAGCCAUGCAUUUUCCUUUCUAGCUUUCCCCAUUCCUAUUUGCCCUUGCAGAGCAUCUGAUAGGUAAGAGAUGCUGUUUCUUAUACUUUGUCUCCUGCUUGCAUUCAAACAGUGUCUCAGCUGCAGCAAUAAGUGAUCAAAAGGUGCAGCAUGUGGAAGGCAGAACUUCAGAGAGAGCUCUUGUUGGUUAGAAUUAAAAAAUAAAACAGAGAUGAAGAGCCGAUAGUAGUCAGACGGGCAUUGAAAAUUUAUUUCUCUUCAUCUUGCUUUCUUUACUUUUCUGUGCAGCCAAAGGCAUGAUACUGUGACAUGCUGAAAGCUGUUGAGCAUCAGUAGUAGUGGUGUUAACUCAAUUCCAGGGUAAUUUAUUUGCAGCAUGUCUGCAUUUGGUAUUAAAUUAUAAUGGAGAAGCAUAUUUUAGGGCAAACUUCCCUCAAGUAUUGCUCAUCCUGUUGUUUUCGACUAUAGUUCUGAUAUUUCCAAUUAUUAAGGUUCAUGCUCAGGGAUCAUGGGAAUUAUAGUCAACCAAAGGCACCAGCUUUGGAGGAUGCUACUUCAGAGCAACAGGGAAUUUAAGAUCAAUUACCUGCCAUAUACUUCUGGAAAAAGCAUAAAGUGUCCAUUGUUAUGGAUGGAAUCUAGA